rnacentral:tRNA from 1 species
GCCCGGGUGGUGAAAUUGGUAUACACGCAACACUUAAGAUGUUGUGAGCUUUGCUCUUGUGGGUUCAAGUCCCACCCCGGGCACCA